rnacentral:rRNA from 1 species
GACGAACGCUGGCGGCGUGCCUAAUACAUGCAAGUCGAACGAGAGCGACCGGUGCUUGCACUGGUCAAUCUAGUGGCGAACGGGUGAGUAACACGUGGGUAACCUGCCCAUCAGAGGGGGAUAACAUCCGGAAACGGAUGCUAAAACCGCAUAGGUCUUCGAACCGCAUGGUUUGAAGAGGAAAAGAGGCGCAAGCUUCUGCUGAUGGAUGGACCCGCGGUGCAUUAGCUAGUUGGUGAGGUAACGGCUCACCAAGGCCGUGAUGCAUAGCCGACCUGAGAGGGUGAUCGGCCACAUUGGGACUGAGACACGGCCCAAACUCCUAAGGGAGGCAGCAGUAGGGAAUCUUCCGCAAUGGACGCAAGUCUGACGGAGCAACGCCGCGUGAGUGAAGAAGGUUUUCGGAUCGUAAAACUCUGUUGUUAGAGAAUAACAAGUGCUAGAGUAACUGUUAGCGCCUUGACGGUAUCUAACCAGAAAGCCACGGCUAACUACGUG